CUGAGAGGCUCAUGAUGCAGUAUUGUGGCCUAGUUUACUCACUAGGCCAGGAACAUCUACAGCAAGUAUCCCACCAGUAUUUGUCUAACAGUAGUAUACCAGCAUCAUGUCACCUCUUGUCAGGUGAGUAGAAGCCAGGGUCUCUGGAAGGUAUGUCACCUUCAAUACCUCUGCCCAGGUGUGAACGUCCCUUGUCUUACACUGCUUGUCAUCUAUUCUGAGGCCUCAUCCCACACUCAGCCAAGUACCUACUACAGGAGGCCACCUACAUGUCCUUCACCCUUGAUGUCCUUCUGAAGAGUUGGUACAAACAAUGAAGGAAAAAAAGUCACAAGGUUAAUGUUCUGUCAAGGGCAAGUUUUCCAAGCUUCCGAUCAGCUAUGUGGCGGAUUAACUCAUGGUCAACUUGGAAUGCCCAGCUGCACGGAAUCAGCAUGGUCUGGUUGGGAAAGACCCACCUGAGGAUUGUGGUCAACAGCAUAAAAAGAGAACUGGAGGGGAAGAUCAGCAGACGAAACAAUCAUGGAGAUGUUAAGCAACUUGCCCAAGUUUAUACAGCUGGUGGGACCUGACAGUGUUUUAAUGUAUAUUGAGUUCUCUGUGGAGAAUCCAGUGCCUGACACAAGCUCCUCCACCUGGUGGGUACUCAGCUCCCUCUUGUCACAGCAGCUUACACUACCACGUAUCUGGUCAUCAGAGACAUCUUCCCAUUACCACUUCAACUUCAUUCAGUGAGGUCACACUCCAUAUGAGAAGGAACAGUCCCAACAGCUGCAGUUUGGGCCUUUAAAAACUGCUUCAUCUCCUUUGACCUACAUCCCCCUAGUCUUCUGGGCAAACACAUCUUUGGCUGCCUAAAUCAGACAAAUUCAAAUCCAGCAUGGAAGCAGUCUCCUGUCCCCCACCACUCUCCAUCUGCUGACUGGUAAAAACCUGUCUGUGGACUUCCCAGGAAGAACUUUUUCAGUACAUACAGACAGCUCUCACAUGCCAUGAUGUCUUAAUCCUCCAUGG